rnacentral:lncRNA from 1 species
GGGAGCGCGGCACCAGGCAGAGCACCGGGUUCAACACCGGGAUUGGUCGCAAGUAGGAAGCUUUCGCCACUACUCUGGGACCCUCGGUCUGGGCCGGCGCCGCACCCGAAGCUGAGGCGAGAGCCGCGCUCAGGUGCUCAGGUGAUGUGCAGUUGAACUUGAGAUGAAUAACAUAUUUGGGGGUGGAUUCUUUACCGCUGACCCACCAGGGAAGCCCAGAUUGUGAUCAACAACAAUCCUCAGAGAAGUGAAUACAGCAAGUGAGUGUGGACAAGAAGGAGCACAGGAACUUCUGUGUGCUCUCUCAACUCCCUUCAGAGCUAAGGGUCCUUAGCUCAAGAGUCACA